rnacentral:rRNA from 1 species
UUUCCGUAGGUGAACCUGCGGAAGGAUCAUUACCACACCUAAAAACUGUCCACGUGAACUGUGUUGAGCUUGGGGCGUGCUGGGCGUGCGUGUGCGUGUGGCUUCGGCCGCGUGCGUGCGUGUGUUUGGCGUGCUCAUCAAACGAAGAGGCGGGUCGCAAGGCCUGCUUUGGUAGUUACUUUUUUAAAUCCUUCUUGUUAACUGAUUAUACUGUGGGGACGAAAGUCUCUGCUUUGAACUAGAUAGCAACUUUCAGCAGUGGAUGUCUAGGCUCGCACAUCGAUGAAGAACGCUGCGAACUGCGAUACGUAAUGCGAAUUGCAGGAUUCAGUGAGUCAUCGAAAUUUUGAACGCAUAUUGCACUUCCGGGUUAUGCCUGGGAGUAUGCCUGUAUCAGUGUCCGUACAACAGACUUGGCUUCCUUCCUUCCGUGUAGUCGGUGGCGGGAACGCUCAGACGUGAAGUGUCUUGCUACUGCAAUUUGUAGAUUGUAGCGGCGAGUCCUUUGAAAUGUAGGACGUGUGUUCUCUUUGCUGGAAAAGCGUGUGGCGCGUGGUUGUGGAGGCUGCCUGUGUGGCCAGUCGGCGACUGAUUUCGUGCUGAUGCGUGCGGAGAGCGGUUCGAUUCGCGGUAUGGUUGGCUUCGGCUGAUUUUCUGCUUAUUGGGUUGUUGUUUGCUGCGUCGGCGUUUGCGGGGUCGGUGAACCGUAGCUGCGUUGGGCUUGGCUUCUGAGCUGUGUGCUGUGCUGCGAAGUAUGGUGGCUGCGUGUGCCUUUUGGUGCGCGCGGCCGAGAGACKGUCACCAUUUGGGAUUUUUGUGUCAGUGGCCUCGGCCGUUGGCAUCUCAAUUGGACCUGAUAUCAGGCAAGGUUACCCGCUGAACUUAA